rnacentral:lncRNA from 1 species
AAUAGAUAUGUGACUAUAUAUAACACUUACAUUUACUCUUUGUUAGCUUAUUAAUUCUUCUUUAAAAGAACUAUAGAAAAAUCAUAAAAAACACUAAUCAAAACUAAUCCAAACUAAAUGUAAUACAUUGAAUUGAGUGUAAUGUAAUAUAUGAAGUGGUCAGUCACAGAUCCAUGUAAAUAAGCUUUUCUUACAAAUUGUGAAAGGUAAUAUUGAUUGAUUGAUUGUUGGAGUUUAACUCCACUUUUAGCACUUUUGACUAUCAUGGAUGCAGUGUUUUUUAUGGCAUAGGAAGCCUAAAUGCCUGUAGAGACCACUUAAUUUCAGUAAGAAAAACUAAACAGUUAAGAUAAGUUGAAUGCACCUUGCUAUGACCAAGUUUCAAACCAGCCACCUCAGUUUUUGGGAGUCUAAACUCAAUAGGAAGAAAGGCCUUUUACAAUCAUAAUUUUAAAAACUGUGUAGUAUUGCCAUUUAUCAUAAUAAUCAUUUUAAUCAGUGAUACUAGUUUAUGUCUUCCUCACUGAAAAAAUACUAUGGUAAACAAAUUGUGCAGCAUCUAAUCAUUACCUCAGAACAUAAUAUAAAAGUAUUUCUUAUUUCAAAUAGAACUAUGCUACUGUGCUUAACAAAAUAUUUUAUUCAACGUCAAGUAUAAUGUACUUUUGUUCUUUACUGUAGAUUAAAUUCUCCUUCCAGUCAAACACAGUGGUACGAUGCAUUAUUUGUGAACUUAGGAUUGGAAAAAGGUGAAAACCAUCUCCAGCUGAAUGGAUGUCCAAACACUGACUUUAAACUCAACCAAUAGGAUUGCUUCUCCGAUUCACCUGAAUCUUUCUUUAAAUUCUCUAUCCCCUGUAAGAUACAAAGAAAAAUGUCCAUAAAAAUUGAAACUGUAU